GAGUAAAGAUUUCGGUCGCUUUGGGAGGAGCUCGCUUACUAUCAGCUUGUUGGUAGGGUAAUGGCCUACCAAGGCUAUGACGGUUAGGGGGUGUGAGAGCAUGACCCCCAGCAUUGGCACUGAAACACUGGCCAAACACCUACGGGUGGCUGCAGUCGAGAAUCUUCCACAAUGGGGGAAACCCUGAUGGGGCGAUGCUGCGUGCGGGAUGAAGGCCUUCGGGUUGUAAACCGCUUUUGUAGGGGACGAAAUUUUUGACGGUACCCUUUCGAAUAAGAGGUUGCUAACUCUGUGCCAGCAGCAGCGGUAAUACAGAGACCUCAAGCGUUAUCCGGAUUUACUGGGCGUAAAGCGUCUGUAGGGGGUUUAUUAAGUUCCAAGUAAAAUUUCAAGGCUCAACUUUGAAUUCGCUUGGAAAACUAAUAAACUGGAGUCUAGCAGAGGUGCAUGGAACUUGUGGUGUAGGAGUGAAAUCCGUUGAUAUCACAAGGAACACCAAAGGCGAAGGCCUUGCACUGGGCUAGCACUGACCCUGAGAGACGAAAGCGUGGGGAGC
rnacentral:rRNA from 1 species